rnacentral:rRNA from 1 species
UACGGAGGGGGCUAGCGUUGUUCGGAAUUACUGGGCGUAAAGCGUACGUAGGCGGCUUUCUAAGUCAGAGGUGAAAUCCCACGACUCAAUCGUGGAACUGCCUUUGAGACUGGAUCGCUUGAAGAUGGGAGAGGUAAGUGGAAUUCCGAGUGUAGAGGUGAAAUUCGUAGAUAUUCGGAAGAACACCAGUGGCGAAGGCGGCUUACUGGACCAUUCUUGACGCUGAGGUACGAAAGCGUGGGGAGCAAACAGG